rnacentral:rRNA from 1 species
GACGAACCACACAAACGUUAUUCGGAAUUACUGGGCUUAAAGGGUGCGUAGGCUGCGCAGAAAGUUGGGUGUGAAAUACCUCGGCUCAACCGAGGAACUGCGCCCAAAACUACUGUGCUCGAGGAAGAUAGAGGUGAGCGGAACUUACGGUGGAGCGGUGAAAUGCGUUGAUAUCGUAAGGAACACCUGUGGCGAAAGCGGCUCACUGGGUCUUUUCUGACGCUGAUGCACGAAAGCUAGGGGAGCAAACGGGAUUAGAAACCCCCGUAGUCC